GGGCGUGUAGUGUAGGGGUUAUCGCGUUCGCUUUGCAUGCGAAAGGUCUCCGGUUCGAUUCCGGACUCGUCCA
rnacentral:tRNA from 1 species